rnacentral:rRNA from 1 species
UUCGUAGGCGGUGCGGUAAGUCGGAAGUGAAAUCUCUGGGCUUAACUCAGAGGCUGCUUUCGAAACUACCGCGCUAGAGUGCGGGAGAGGCGAGUGGAAUUGCAGGUGUAGCGGUGAAAUGCGUAGAUAUCUGCAGGAACACCCGUGGCGAAGGCGGCUCGCUGGACCGCAACUGACGCUGAGGAACGAAAGCUAGGGGAGCAAACAGGAUUAGAUACCCUGGUAGUCCUAGCCCUAAACCAUCAGGACUUGGGGUGGCCCGCGUUGGCGGGUCGUCCCGGAGCUAACGCGUUAAGUCCUGCGCCUGGGGAGUACGGUCGCAAGGCUGAA